rnacentral:rRNA from 1 species
UACGCAGGGGGCUAGCGUUGCUCGGAAUCACUGGGCGUAAAGCGCACGUAGGCGGAUCGCUAAGUCAGGGGUGAAAUCCUGGAGCUCAACUCCAGAACUGCCUUUGAUACUGGCAAUCUCGAGUCCGGGAGAGGUGAGUGGAACUGCGAGUGUAGAGGUGAAAUUCGUAGAUAUUCGCAAGAACACCAGUGGCGAAGGCGGCUCACUGGCCCGGUACUGACGCUGAGGUGCGAAAGCGUGGGGAGCAAACAGG